rnacentral:rRNA from 1 species
GACGAACGCUGGCGGCGUGCUUAACACAUGCAAGUCGAACGGAAAGGCCCUGCUUGCAGGGUGCUCGCGUGGCGAACGGGUGAGUAACACGUGGGUGAUCUGCCCCUUACUUUGGGAUAAGCCUGGGAAACUGGGUCUAAUACUGGAUAGGACCAUGCUGUAGGUGGUGUGGUGGAAAGAUUAGUUUCGGUAAGGGAUGAGCUCGCGGCCUAUCAGCUUGUUGGUGGGGUAAUGGCCUACCAAGGCGUCGACGGGUAGCCGGCCUGAGAGGGUGGACGGCGACAUUGGGGCUGAGAGACGGCCCAGACUCCUACGGGGGGCAGCAGUGGGGAAUAUUGCACAAUGGGGGCAAGCCUGAGGCAGCGACGCCGCGUGGGGGAUGACGGGCUUCGGGUUGUAAACUCCUUUCAGCCAUGACGAAGCCUUCGGGUGACGGUAGUGGGAGAAGAAGCACCGGCUAACUACGUG